rnacentral:rRNA from 1 species
UACGGAGGAUCCGAGCGUUAUCCGGAUUUAUUGGGUUUAAAGGGUGCGUAGGCGGCCUAUUAAGUCAGGGGUGAAAGACGGUAGCUUAACUAUCGCAGUGCCUUUGAUACUCAUAGGCUUGAAUGUACUUGAGGUAGGCGGAAUGUGACAAGUAGCGGUGAAAUGCAUAGAUAUGUCACAGAACACCAAUUGCGAAGGCAGCUUACUAAAGUAUGAUUGACGCUGAGGCACGAAAGCGUGGGGAUCAAACAGG